UGCGCAGGCGGGUUUGUAAGUCAGUGGUGAAAUACUGCCGCUUAACGGUAGAACUGCCAUUGAUACUGCGAAUCUUGAGUAUGGUUGAGGUAGGCGGAAUGUGUAGUGUAGCGGUGAAAUGCAUAGAUAUUACACAGAACUCCGAUUGCGAAGGCAGCUUACUAAGCCAUAACUGACGCUGAGGCACGAAAGCGUGGGGAGCGAACAGGAUUAGAUACCCUGGUAGUCC
rnacentral:rRNA from 1 species